UUUACUGGCAUCUGUUGAACCGUCAGC
rnacentral:piRNA from 1 species